CUUUAUGACAUAUAGACCAUCAGAGCCAGGAGGGAGCCUAAAUCAGGAGGCUCACCCUGGAGACGCCCUGGCCACAAGCAGCCCCAAAACUCCAGAGCCCAAGAGGAAUCAGAUUAAAAUGGAUCCUCUCUGGAAGUGUCCCUACAACCAACCAAAGGAAGUCCCUUCUACAGAUGAGGAAACUAAGGCAGCCUAGGGAAUCGUGUUGGAACUUGGCAUCUGGAAGACUUGGUUUUGAAUGUUCCCUCAGUUUCUUACUGGCUGACAUGAUGCUGAGGUCAAUGAAUCCUUGUCUUCCUUUCAGUCUUUUCAUAUGUACAAUGAAGGAAAUAUCCCC
rnacentral:lncRNA from 1 species